UUGGCAAUAUAGUGUAUAUGUAUGUUUAUAAAACAAAUAAAUGUGUUUUUUAAAAACAAACAAAAAUACCAAAAUAAAGAAAAUCCACAUUUGUUCAAUGCUUUAUCAAUUCAGUUUAUUUAUCUAACACAUUUAAUGAAAGUCAAACAAAAAAUCUCUAAGGCCCUAAGGAAGAAAUUACAGAACUGAAAAUACUUUUUAUUGUAUACAACUAACAAAGUAUAAAGCAAAUGAUUACAUAAAGUAAUCCUGGUUACGUCACUUCGCAUGUGACGAGGCUCGUCCAAUCAGGUGCUAGGUCAUGGUGACGCGGUAUGUUCCUCCAAUCACAGACGAGGUCACGAUUCAAAGCGCAGAACCAAAACAUGUAAACAGAGAUGUUACUCUUUCCUGGGAUUUGCUUACCGUUUUCAUUUUUACAUCACUCUUUACAUUUACCUCACUGCUUGCAAUGGCUUACUCACUGUGAGUCAAACGGCUGCUCGACAGAGGAACUGAAGAGGAAGAGGCGGGGCUGCACAGUCCUAAAAUCACAGUAAGUCUAAAUUCUUCUAAUGACAUAACCCAUGCUUUCAUUUGGCAGAACCAGUGUAAGUUUUGUAACAAAGCAUUUUUACUUGUAUUUUGUAGGAGGCAGUCCAUCGGCUACACAACUCUGAGGCAAACUGUAGGUGCUAUGACCCAGAGCUUGGGUAUGGAUGAAAGAUAUGGGCUAACAUGCACUCUGUUGUUUCCAAAGCAAAUAAACAAGAUGUUUUAACUCCGUACUUUUUGCCUUGUGGAAUAAAAAUUCUACUGUACUCACUACUAAAAUCUGACUCCAGCUCCACACUGACCCGACAGCUCAGUCUAAGUGAGACUCAUAGUUAGUAAGGCCUCAAAACUAAAUAAGCCAAUCAAGCAGACUAGAUGAAUACAGAUAAGAGAUUUUAUUUUGUAAUCAGCGCUGACACAAGAAUUGAGAUGCUCACGCAUGAACGUCCCAACAACCUCUCUCCGGGGAACUCCAACUACAGCCUUUAUAUACAUUUCCCUUAUCUUCCCAGUGCAACACGUCACUGGUUCUUUGCCUAGACAAUCCCACCCAUCUUUCUUUUUUAGACCUUUUAGAUUCUUUUUUACACCAUUAUCUUUGAAUUUACAACUUUUCAAAUACCAUUAUAAUUAAAACUUCCCUACAUCAUUAUAUUAAAAAUUGGGCGUUUUCCGCCCCCACCAGUGGGAUUGUCUUCGGCCUCACUCUUGCCAACACCUCAUUCUUCUUCAGGAGACAGCAUGGGUAAGUUCUCAGUCCUUCAGGGGCCAACACCCUUUCUUUUAUUACACUCUACACUUCACGGCUUUCCUGAUUUAUCCGCUGUCUUCUACAUAUGUACUCUAGAUAUUUCGCCUGGUACCACCAUUGCCAUCCAGCACGCGCUGCGUUUACUUCAUGAUGAGAUCACUGCCGCUCAAGGUACCAGCGGAGCGAAGAUUGACCAUAAUAAUCUAGGGUGCAUCUCUGCCAUUGAUUGGUCCAAGUUUGGAAAGCCUGGUACCGCAGAGAAGGCGUGCCAGACUGACAUCAUUGAUACAACUAUUUGUUCUUCAAAGCCCUUGCAGCCUGUGUGCAAGGCCCGUGACCGGCCAACAUGCCGUGUUAAACCUUAUAUUGUUCUUAAGCUCAAACGACCUAACGAAUAAACCUUACCUGAGAACUCACUCCUGCUGUCCCCCGAUUAUUUCACACUACAUCAAACACACACCUCAUACAUAUAUCCUCAUUUACAAAAUUAUCUCCCACAGCCUCCACAGAUUAACCUUGCCAUAUAAUGAGACGGUCACCUCAAUUUAGUGGGAGCCCAGUCCAUAAGCCUGGAAUUGCACGAUGAAGGCCUGGAUAAAAUGACUUUGUUGUUGCCCGCAAAACAUACUACAAGACCGUGUGCAGAAAUUUUCCGGUACAACCUGCCAGAGCUAGCAAGUGUGGCUGCAGCUAAUAAGACCUCAGCCCGGAGUCACCAGAGGAGGAAGAGGCUCUUGGAGGUGAGGCAAAGUGUACUGGCUGAGGACGAAGUGGACUUCUCGAGGGG